rnacentral:rRNA from 1 species
GCGUAAGCGCACGCAGGCGGUCUGUCAAGUCGGAUGUGAAAUCCCCGGGCUCAACCUGGGAACUGCAUUCGAAACUGGCAGGCUAGAGUCUUGUAGAGGGGGGUAGAAUUCCAGGUGUAGCGGUGAAAUGCGUAGAGAUCUGGAGGAAUACCGGUGGCGAAGGCGGCCCCCUGGACAAAGACUGACGCUCAGGUGCGAAAGCGUGGGGAGCAAACAGGAUUAGAUACCCUGGUAGUCCACGCCGUAAACGAUGUCGACUUGGAGGUUGUGCCCUUGAGGCGUGGCUUCCGGAGCUAACGCGUUAAGUCGACCGCCUGGGGAGUACGGCCGCAAGGUUAAAACUCAAAUGAAUUGACGGGGGCCCGCACAAGCGGUGGAGCAUGUGGUUUAAUUCGAUGCAACGCGAAGAACCUUACCUACUCUUGACAUCCAGAGAACUUUCCAGAGAUGGAUUGGUGCCUUCGGGAACUCUGAGACAGGUGCUGCAUGGCUGUCGUCAGCUCGUGUUGUGAAAUGUUGGGUUAAGUCCCGCAACGAGCGCAACCCUUAUCCUUUGUUGCCAGCGGUUAGGCCGGGAACUCAAAGGAGACUGCCAGUGAUAAACUGGAGGAAGGUGGGGAUGA